rnacentral:rRNA from 1 species
CAAUAGCGUAUAUUAAAGUUGUUGCAGUUAAAACGCUCGUAGUCGGAUUUCGGGGCGUUCCCGCCGGUCUGCCGAUGGGUACGCACUGGCGGGCGCGUCCUUCCUUCCGGAGACUGGCCCUACUCUUAGCUGAGCGGGGUCGGGAGUCGGAUCGUUUACUUUGAAAAAAUCAGAGUGUUUCAAGCAGGCAGCUCGCUCUUGCAUGGAUUAGCAUGGGAUAAUGAAAUAGGACUUUGGUGCUAUUUUGUUGGUUUCGAACACCGAAGUAAUGAUUAACAGGGACAGUCAGGGGCACUCGUAUUCCGCCGAGAGAGGUGAAAUUCUCAGACCAGCGGAAGACGAACCACUGCGAAAGCAUUUGCCAGGGAUGUUUNCACUGA